CGAUGAACCACUUCGGUGGGGAUUAGUGGCGAACGGGUGAGUAACACGUGGGCAAUCUGCCCUUCACUCUGGGACAAGCCCUGGAAACGGGGUCUAAUACCGGAUACAACACUCUCGGGCAUCCGAUGAGUGUGGAAAGCUCCGGCGGUGAAGGAUGAGCCCGCGGCCUAUCAGCUUGUUGGUGAGGUAACGGCUCACCAAGGCGACGACGGGUAGCCGGCCUGAGAGGGCGACCGGCCACACUGGGACUGAGACACGGCCCAGACUCCUACGGGAGGCAGCAGUGGGGAAUAUUGCACAAUGGGCGAAAGCCUGAUGCAGCGACGCCGCGUGAGGGAUGACGGCCUUCGGGUUGUAAACCUCUUUCAGCAGGGAAGAAGCGAAAGUGACGGUACCUGCAGAAGAAGCGCCGGCUAACUACGUGCCAGCAGCCGCGGUAAUACGUAGGGCGCGAGCGUUGUCCGGAAUUAUUGGGCGUAAAGAGCUCGUAGGCGGUCUGUCGCGUCGGAUGUGAAAGCCCGGGGCUUAACCCCGGGUCUGCAUUCGAUACGGGCAGACUAGAGUGUGGUAGGGGAGAUCGGAAUUCCUGGUGUAGCGGUGAAAUGCGCAGAUAUCAGGAGGAACACCGGUGGCGAAGGCGGAUCUCUGGGCCAUUACUGACGCUGAGGAGCGAAAGCGUGGGGAGCGAACAGGAUUAGAUACCCUGGUAGUCCACGCCGUAAACGGUGGGAACUAGGUGUUGGCGACAUUCCACGUCGUCGGUGCCGCAGCUAACGCAUUAAGUUCCCCGCCU
rnacentral:rRNA from 1 species